ACGGUUACAUCAUGUUGUAAUACCUGUUCCCGUACGAUCACCGAAGUUAAGCAACGUUGAGCCUAGUGAGUACCUAGAUGGGUGACCGCUUGGGUAUAUUAGGUACUGUAAU